AUUCAAAGAUGAGGAGCAUCAAUCAUCAGUAAAUGUUAGACGGCCUUGAUUUCUUUUUUGCUAAUAAUUAUCUGAAAAGGAACACUAUUCCCUACCUGCUAGUAGCUAACAUUGAAAGGGUGCGAUGCCGAAGUGAUUUCUCUUAGCAGAGGGAGAUCAUUGGACUUUCUUGUUAAUAGCAAAGAGUCUGUCAUUAUUGUUAGAUAAUGGAGUGCAUCACUUGUA
rnacentral:ncRNA from 2 species